ensembl:lncRNA
GCAUCCAGACGUCUGGUGCACAUGCUGAAUUCCCAGAGCCUGUCUGGAGACAUGGGCGGGCUCUGCUCCCCUGACAUCUUUCCCCAGAAGCCCUUCUGUUUCUCCCUCUUUUUCCCUCCUGGAUUCUUCAGCAAAAAGGCUUACAGCUUGAGAGGGCAAAGUUUCUAGUUUACAAUCCCUGCUUCCCCCAGUGUUAAGGGCAUAUCAAGCCGUGCUUAAUGCAUGAGAAGGCUUAAUGAAACUUAGCAUUUUGGUUCUUGACGACUGGCCAGUUCACACGCCACUGACUCCCAAAGGAUUCAUAUGUGUACAUGUUUGUUUGCAUGUGUCGGGCACACCUGGAGAUCAGAGAACAACUCCGACAGUCAGUUGGAUCUCUUCUUUCACCACAUGGUUCUGAGGACCAAAGUCAGGCUCAGUGUUGUAUGAAGAGUUGAAGAAUAAGGACCUCACCCUGCAAGCCACGGCUGCUUUUAGAGCUGUAGAGGGGCUCCCACCUACACACGUGCACCUGUGUGCCCUUAUGGCUGUCAAAUCCCCACUAAGUACCCCACUAAACAAGUGACACGGUCCAGUCUGCAACCUCUGUGGAGAAGAGUGGGGUUUGGCCACAGAGGGAAUCCUGCUAGAAUCAGAAGGAAGAAGCCAGGAAAAAAGCUCAGCGGUAUCUGAGAGAUGAUGAUGGUGAUGAUGAUGAUGGUGACGGUGAUGAUGAUGAUGAUGAUGACGACGACGACGACGAUUAUUAUUAUUUUAGGUCUAGAACUAAUAAGGUCCUUUGAACUCAGCCCCAUUGACUUGGUCCAAAGUUAGUGGUCCGAUUUUUUCUUUUAACCUGACAUCUUAAAACUGGAGCUGUCCCUUCAAGGGGACCAGGUGAAGCUGAGCCUGAUGCCUCCCACCUGAGAAUGAGCAGCUAGGUACGCCUCCUCACAUCAGUGGUGCCAGCACUUGGGACUUUAAUAUUGUUAGGAUUUCCAGAAGUCUCUUUUUAGUGACUGAGAUCACCCUAGUUACUCCUUCACCGAGGAACAGGCCUCAGCAGCAUUUCAUUUUCCCUAAUACUAGCCCAUCCCACCUAACCCCACAUCUACUAGGGAUGGACGAACGUGGAAAGCACUUGCUACUCAAAGUGUGGUCCUCAGCCUGGACACCGGCAACAUCCAAAAGCUUCUUAGAAGUGCAAAAGGUCACACCCAUUCAUAGACUGAUGGAACAGAAGCUCUUUAAGGAUCCCAGGCACCCAGACCACAGCAAAAUAUUUCUUGUAACCCUUGGGACUGGAGAGAUGGUUCAGCCAUUAAGAAGGUGGACUGCUCUUACAGAGGGCCUGGCAGCUUACAAAUGCCUGUAACUCUAGGUCCAGCAGGACUGCGUGCCUUUGUGAGUGGACCCACACAUAUGGACACACAUAACUGAG